rnacentral:lncRNA from 1 species
GGGCAUUCGGUAUUUCGGUUCGGUUUCGGUUUUUUUUUUUCGGUUUUUUCGGUUUUCGGUUCUUGUACAACGUGUACCGAACACCGAACCGAAAUAAUUCGGUUCGGUUCGGUUUUUAUUAUUUCGGUUCGGUUUUUGUUAUUUCGGUUCGGUUUUUGUUAAUUCGGUUUUUUGUUAUGGGCCUGCUUAGUGGGCUUUUUAAAAUUUUGUAAUUUUUUUGUUUAUUUUAUUAAUGUUUAUUUCUUUUUGCUUAUUUUACUCUGUUUUUCAAAUUAUUGUAUGAUUCAAAAUAACAAAUUGUCGUUAACAUUGAAAUUUAGCCUUGUUAUAACAUUGAAAUUUACCGGUCGUUGUUGUGCUGCGGCUGCCUGCUGGUCGAUUGGCGGCUGCUGC